GACGAACGCUGGCGGCGUGCUUAACACAUGCAAGUCGAACGGAAAGGCUCCAGCUUGCUGGAGUACUCGAGUUGCGAACGGGUGAGUAACACGUGGGUAAUCUGCCCUGCACUCUGGGAUAAGCCUGGGAAGCUGGGUCUAAUACGGGAUAUGACCUUUCUCCUUAUGGGGUUUGGUGGAAAGUUUUUCGGUUUAGGAUGAGCCCGCGGCCUAUCAGCUUGUUGGUGGGGUGAUGGAUUACCAAGGCGACGACGGGUAGCCGGCCUGAGAGGGUGAUCGGCCACAUUGGGACUGAGAUACGGCCCAGACUCCUACGGGAGGGAGCAGUGGGGAAUAUUGCACAAUGGGCGGAAGCCUGAUGCAGCGAAGCCGCGUGAGGGAUGACGGCAUUCGGGUUGUAAACCUCUUUCAGCAGGGACGAAGCGUAAGUGACGGUACCUGCAGAAGAAGCACCGGCUAACUCCGUG
rnacentral:rRNA from 1 species